GAGCCUAAACUCAAUAAAAACCUUCCGUAGGUGAACCUGCGGAGGGAUCAUUACUGAGUUUACGCUCUACAACCCUUUGUGAACAUACCUAUAACUGUUGCUUCGGCGGGUAGGGUCUCCGCGACCCUCCCGGCCUCCCGCCCCCGGGCGGGUCGGCGCCCGCCGGAGGAUAACCAAACUCUGAUUUAACGACGUUUCUUCUGAGUGGUACAAGCAAAUAAUCAAAACUUUUAACAACGGAUCUCUUGGUUCUGGCAUCGAUGAAGAACGCAGCGAAAUGCGAUAAGUAAUGUGAAUUGCAGAAUUCAGUGAAUCAUCGAAUCUUUGAACGCACAUUGCGCCCGCCAGCAUUCUGGCGGGCAUGCCUGUUCGAGCGUCAUUUCAACCCUCAAGCUCUGCUUGGUGUUGGGGCCCUACAGCUGAUGUAGGCCCUCAAAGGUAGUGGCGGACCCUCCCGGAGCCUCCUUUGCGUAGUAACUUUACGUCUCGCACUGGGAUCCGGAGGGACUCUUGCCGUAAAACCCCCAAUUUUCCAAAGGUUGACCUCGGAUCAGGUAGGAAUACCCGCUGAACUUAAGCAUAUCAAUAAGCGGAGG
rnacentral:rRNA from 1 species